CAUUAAAGAGUUCUAUAACUCCCAAACCCAUGUGAACAUACCUAACGUUGCCUCGGCAGGUCGCACCUACCUUGUAGCACCCUACCCUGUAGGGCCUACCCGGGAGGUGCGGGUAAGCCUGCCGGCGGCCCACCCAACUCUGUUUGAUAUUGAAUUCUGAACCUAUAACUAAAUAAGUUAAAACUUUCAACAACGGAUCUCUUGGUUCUGGCAUCGAUGAAGAACGCAGCGAAAUGCGAUAAGUAAUGUGAAUUGCAGAAUUCAGUGAAUCAUCGAAUCUUUGAACGCAUAUUGCGCCCAUUAGUAUUCUAGUGGGCAGGACCGUUCGAGCGUCAUUUCAACCCUUAAGCCUUCGUUGCUUAGUGUUGGGAGCCUACGGCAACGUAGCUCCUCAAAGUUAGUGGCGGAGUUGGUUCACACUCUAGACGUAGUAAUUUUUUAUCUCGCCUAUUAGUUGGACUAAUCCCCUGCCGUAAAACCCCCAAUUUAUCAAGGUUGACCUCGAAUCGGUUCAGACAAACUCGCUAAAUUGAAGCAUCUUAGUCAGCGAAGGAAAAGAAACCAACAGGGAUUGCCCUAGUAACGGCGAGUGAAGCGGCAACAGCUCAAAUUUGAAAUCUGGCCCUCGGGUCCGAGUUGUAAUUUGUAGAGGAUGCUUUUGGCGCGGUGCCUUCCGAGUUCCCUGGAACGGGACGCCUUAGAGGGUGAGAGCCCCGUACGGUUGGACACCAAGCCUCUGUAAAGCUCCUUCGACGAGUCGAGUAGCUUGGGAAUGCUGCUCUAAAUGGGA
rnacentral:rRNA from 1 species